UACGUAGGGUGCAAGCGUUGUCCGGAAUUAUUGGGCGUAAAGAGCUCGUAGGCGGUUUGUCGCGUCUGCUGUGAAAACGCGAGGCUCAACCUCGCGCCUGCAGUGGGUACGGGCAGACUAGAGUGCGGUAGGGGAGAUUGGAAUUCCUGGUGUAGCGGUGGAAUGCGCAGAUAUCAGGAGGAACACCGGUGGCGAAGGCGGGUCUCUGGGCCGAAACUGACGCUGAGGAGCGAAAGCGUGGGGAGCGAACAGG
rnacentral:rRNA from 1 species